rnacentral:misc_RNA from 1 species
AACCAUAGAAACCUGCGGAGUACCUGCGGAAGGAUCAUUACCGAGUUUACAACUCCCAAACCCCUGUGAACAUACCAAUUGUUGCCUCGGCGGAUCAGCCCGCUCCCGGUAAAACGGGACGGCCCGCCAGAGGACCCCUAAACUCUGUUUCCAUAUGUAACUUCUGAGUAAAACCAUAAAUAAAUCAAAACUUUUAACAACGGAUCU